UCGGGAAUAUUGCGCAAUGGAGGAAACUCUGACGCAGUGACGCCGCGUAUAGGAAGAAGGUUUUCGGAUUGUAAACUAUUGUCGUUAGGGAAGAUACAAGACAGUACCUAAGGAGGAAGCCCCGGCUAACUAUGUGCCAGCAGCCGCGGUAAUACAUAGGGGGCAAGCGUUAUCCGGAAUUAUUGGGUGUAAAGGGUGCGUAGACGGGAAGGCAAGUUAGUUGUGAAAUCCCUCGGCUUAACUGAGGAACUGCAACUAAAACUAUCUUUCUUGAGUGCGGGAGAGGAAAGUGGAAUUCCUAGUGUAGCGGUGAAAUGCGUAGAUAUUAGGAGGAACACCAGUGGCGAAGGCGACUUUCUGGACCGUAACUGACGUUGAAGCACGAAAGUGUGGGGAGCAAACAGGA
rnacentral:rRNA from 1 species